UACGAAGGGGGCUAGCGUUGCUCGGAAUCACUGGGCGUAAAGGGUGCGUAGGCGGGUCUUAAGUCAGGGGUGAAAUCCUGGCAGCUCAACUCCAGAACCUGCCUUCGAUACUGGGAGUCUCGAGUUCGGGAGAGGUGAGUGGAACUGCGAGUGUAGAGGUGAAUGCGUAGAUAUCGGAAGGAACACCAGUGGCGAAAGCGGCUUCCUGGUCCAGCACCGACGUCAGGCACGGAAAGCGUGGGGAGCAAACAGG
rnacentral:rRNA from 1 species